GGCUGAGCUAACUUCACUCCUGUUCGCUCCUGGGAGGCUUGUCCUUUUCCUUAUCAUCUCCUGGCUUAACAAGCAGAUUCGUGCCCUCUAGACCGCCCUCUCCUCCAGGGCUGAUCCAGCCACGUCAUUUACUUUCAGGAAGCUGUGUGAAGUCUUAGCGUUUCACCCAGCAGAAGACAAUGACCUCCAGAGUGUCCCAUUUAUUUCGGAAUGGUGAUUCUUCAUCGUCAAUUUGCCCGGAUUUGGAAUCACCUAGGAGACACACCUCCUGCUAUGCCCGACACAGCAUUUCCAGAGAACUUUCACCGAGGAUGGAAGAACAACCCUGCAUAAGAGUGAUUUAUCCCACAGCAGGGAUCCCAAGCUAAAGUAAAAGAGAAAAGAGGUAGAGAAGGGAGCACCAGGGUUCAUGCGGCUGUUUGACUACAUAUGCAAUGUAACCAGCCGCAUUGUGCUCCUGGAGCGCCAGGGUUCAUGCCGGCUGUUUGACCACAUAUGCAAUGCGACCAGCUGCAUGGAGCUCCUGGUGUCAGAGCUAGGGCCACCCUGGCUGCCAGACUGUCCCAUCAUGGUGUACUGUAUC